ACUCCUACGGGAGGCAGCAGUGGGGAAUAUUGGACAAUGGGGGCAACCCUGAUCCAGCAAUGCCGCGUGAGUGAUGAAGGCCUUCGGGUUGUAAAGCUCUUUUGGCGGGGACGAUGAUGACGGUACCCGCAGAAUAAGCCCCGGCUAACUUCGUGCCAGCAGCCGCGGUAAUACGAAGGGGGCUAGCGUUGUUCGGAAUUACUGGGCGUAAAGGGCGCGUAGGCGGUCCUGAUCGUCGGAUGUGAAAGGCCUGGGCUCAACCUGGGAACUGCAUCCGAUACGGCGGGACUGGAGUGUGGGAGAGGUUGGUGGAAUUCCCAGUGUAGAGGUGAAAUUCGUAGAUAUUGGGAAGAACACCGGUGGCGAAGGCGGCCAACUGGACCACAACUGACGCUGAGGCGCGAAAGCGUGGGGAGCAAACAGGAUUAGAUACCCUGGUAGUCCACGCUGUAAACGAUGCGUGCUAGACGUUGGGCACCCUAGGUGUCCGGUGUCGUCGCUAACGCUUUAAGCACGCCGCCUGGGGAGUACGGCCGCAAGGUUAAAACUUAAAGGAAUUGACG
rnacentral:rRNA from 1 species